rnacentral:rRNA from 1 species
UACGGAGGGUGCGAGCGUUGUCCGGAAUCACUGGCCGUAAAGGGCGCGUAGGCGGCUUCUCAAGCGUGUGGUGAAAGUCCGGGGCUCAACCCCGGAUCGGCCGUGCGGACUGGGGAGCUCGAGUUCUGUAGAGGCGGGUGGAAUUCCGGGUGUAGCGGUGGAAUGCGUAGAGAUCCGGAAGAACACCGGUGGCGAAGGCGGCCCGCUGGGGCAGAGACUGGACGCUGAGGC